rnacentral:rRNA from 1 species
GCUCCAAUAGCGUAUAUUAAAGUUGUUGCAGUUAAAAAGCUCGUAGUUGGAUUUGUGGUGUGUCCUGUCGGCCGCUUGGCUUAGCCUUGCGUGCUGUACGGGUCCGCCAUGUUUGGGUGGAAUCUGUGUGGCAUUAGGUUGUCGCGCAGGGGAUGCCAUCUUUUACUGUGAAAAAAUUAGAGUGUUCAAAGCAGGCUUAU